rnacentral:rRNA from 1 species
GACGAACGCUGGCGGCGUGCUUAACACAUGCAAGUCGAGCGGGGACAGUAAGGAGCUUGCUCCGAACUGUUCUAGCGGCGGACGGGUGAGUAACGCGUGAGCAAUCUGUCCCAGACAGGGGGAAUAACACAUUGAAAGAUGUGCUAAUACCGCAUAAGACCACGAGGCCGCAUGGCCUUGAGGUAAAAGGAGCAAUCCGGUUUGGGGUGAGCUCGCGUCCCAUUAGCUAGUUGGUGAGGUAACGGCUCACCAAGCCGACGAUCUGUAGCUGGUCUGAGAGGACGACCAGCCACACUGGGACUGAGACACGGCCCAG